UACAGAGGGUGCAAGCGUUAAUCGGAAUUACUGGGCGUAAAGCGUGCGUAGUCGGUUAUCUAAGUCGGGUGUGAAAUCCCCGGGCUCAACCUGGGAAUUGCAUUCGAUACUGGAUAGCUAGAGUUCGGCAGAGGGAAGCGGAAUUUCGGGUGUAGCGGUGAAAUGCGUAGAUAUCCGAAGGAACAUCAGUGGCGAAGGCGGCCACCUGGGUCAGUUCUGACGCUCAGACACGACAGCAUGGGGAGCGAACGGG
rnacentral:rRNA from 1 species